UCGAGAAUCUUCGGCAAUGGACGAAAGUCUGACCGAGCGAUGCCGCGUGCGGGAUGAAGGCCUUCGGGUUGUAAACCGCUGUCAGUUGGGAGGAAGGCUCCGUGAAGAGCGGAGUUUGACCUAUCUUCAGAGGAAGUCCGGGCUAAGUUCGUGCCAGCAGCCGCGGUAACACGAACCGGACGAACGUUAUUCGGAAUUAUUGGGCUUAAAGGGUGCGUAGGCGGCGUGGUCAGUGAGGUGUGAUAGCCCACGGCUCAACCGAGGAAUUGCGCUUCAUACUGCUAUGGUCGAGGGAGACAGAGGUAAGCGGAACUGAUGGUGGAGCGGUGAAAUGCGUUGAUAUCAUCAGGAACUCCAGUGGCGAAAGCGGCUUACUGGGUCUCUUCUUACGCUGAGGCACGAAAGCUAGGGUAGCGAACGGGAUUAGAUACCCGCGUAGUCC
rnacentral:rRNA from 1 species